rnacentral:rRNA from 1 species
UACGUAGGUGGCAAGCGUUGUCCGGAUUUACUGGGCGUAAAGCGUGUGUAGGCGGACCUUUAAGUAGAAAGUGAAAGGUUGGAGCUCAACUCCAACACUGCUUCCUAUACUGGAGGUCUUGAGUGCCGGAGAGGAAGAUGGAACUGCACGUGUAGCGGUGAAAUGCGUUGAUAUGUGCAGGAACACCAAUGGCGAAGGCAAUCUUCUGGACGGAUACUGACGCUCAUGCACGAAAGCGUGGGGAGCAAACAGG